UGAAGUGGAAAAAGCGCACCCGGAUGUCUUUAACAUUCUGCUGCAGGUGCUGGAUGAUGGACGUUUGACCGAUGGGCAGGGGAGAACGGUCGACUUCCGUAAUACGGUGGUCAUCAUGACUUCUAACCUUGGCUCCGACCUUAUUCAGGAACGCUUUGGGGCACUGGAUUAUGGCCAUAUGAAGGAGAUGGUGCUGGGCGUGGUUAGUCAAAGCUUCCGUCCAGAGUUUAUCAACCGUAUUGACGAAGUGGUUGUCUUCCAUCCGCUGGGUGAAAAACAUAUUGCUUCUAUCGCGCAGAUUCAGCUGCAGCGGUUGUAUAAACGACUUGAGGAACGCGGCUACGAAGUCCACAUGUCUGAUGAAGCGCUGAAAUUGCUGAGCGAAAAUGGAUACGAUCCUGUUUAUGGCGCACGUCCUCUGAAACGUGCUAUCCAGCAACAGAUCGAAAACCCGCUGGCGCAGCAGAUCCUCUCCGGUGAAUUGAUACCGGGUAAAGCAGUGCAACUGGUUGUGAAAGAUGACCGGAUAGUGGCAGUGCAGUAAAUCACAAAACAGCAAAAACGGGCCCCUGGGGCUCGUUUUUGUUUAAAAACCAGGCAAUAAUCUCUUUCCUGCUGGCGAUUUGGCUGAAAAUUAAGCGGGUGAGUUUUUUUUUGAAAAUACCGCUUGUCACUUUGAAAUUACUCCCUAUAAUGCGCUCCCACUGACACGGAACAACGGCUUACAGCCCGCCGGGUCAGCGGGAUUCAGCGAUGAAUGCCGGCAGAGAAAAGCGAAAUUAAACGCUUGACUCUGAA
rnacentral:rRNA from 1 species